CCUUGUUUUCAAUCCAAAAACUUGGCUUCAAACAUCACAGUUGAACAGUGCGGAGGGAGAGAGUUUGCUGCAGAACAGCAGUGCGACAAUUAAAAUAGAACCAUAAAACUACAGCAAAAUGAUUGUCAAAGUUUCUGUUAUUACUCUUGCUUUCUUUGUGCUGUCCGUGUCAUCGACAGGAGAUGGAAAUCUCAUAGAGAGAGUGGACCCUCGCUGCCGUUGCGUCAAUCAUACCUCACAAUUCAUCCAUCCAAAGCGAAUGAACGACCUUGAUCUUAUACCAAGUGGCCCUCAUUGCUCACAGGUGGAAAUAAUAGCCACACUCAAGACUGGUAGGAAAGUUUGUCUAAACCCUGAAGCCCCGUGGGUCAUGCUAAUGAUUCGGAAGAUUUUAGAAAAGCCAUAGCUGGGUGACUCGGGAUAAGUACGACAUCAGAGGCGUGCACAAUUUGGAAAACCCUUGCCUGCGCCAACCUCCAACCCCAGCAUGCGUACUGAAAGUACACAGCCUGUAGCACAUCCUUGCUUCAAUCCUCAUCAGCCAAUUGAUUUAUUUUCAGUUGAAGUCUACUAAACAAUAUAAUCACAUGUGUAUCUGAGUAGUGUCUUCAUUUAUGUCUCUUUAAAAUAUACUCGGCAUUGUAUAUCGAACAAGCAUUUAGGAACAAUUAUGUUAUUCUUAAAUCAGUUAACUGAAAUCAAAGAUUCUUAGCAAUCUAUGGUUCACAAUGAGUCAAUUGUCUGAAUAACAGCAUUCUAAUCCAGCUGUACUUUCCAGCUUUGGGUCCAUACUCUCAAGGUAGUAUCAGUUUAACAAUCUGGGGGGAAUUGAUGAUAAUACAUAGAGAGAAUAAAGUUCAAUGACAUUAGUGUAAAAGUGGUGGUCAGCAUGGAGUCUGUGGACCAAAGGGCCUGUUUCCAUGUUGUAACGUUCAAUAACUCUAUAACUCAAUAACGGUUCCAUGGUUCUUUAUUGUCAUGGGUGCACAACCCACAAAUACACAGUCUCCAUAUUUUGGUGCUAUUUAGAAAGUAAAAGUCCAAAUUCCAAACUCCAGAUUUGGUCCACAAGGUGGAGGUACUGGAGUGCCCCAGAUCCAGGGAAUUUCAGGUAAGCCUCAGUCUGCUGCAGGCCCACAGCCCAAUGUCCCUCUCCUCACCCGACUGCCUCUGUGUCCUGGGGAUGCCUCAUGCAGCCGACCUUGAAGGUGCUGACCUUGAAGAUCCCUCACUUAGAUUAGUUGAUUAUGUCAUGCAUUCCAAGGUACAGUGAAAAACUUUUUGCAUGAUGUAACGAUGAGGUCCAAUAAAGUAUGAUUAAAGAUAGUUGCUGCCAGUGUGGAUAAGCCUGCAGCAAAGAUAA